rnacentral:snoRNA from 1 species
UGUGCGAUGAUGAGUAGCGCAGGGGUCCUGACUCAGCCGCUAAUGGGGGCUGAGUGCUGUGACAGAGACAAGUGGUCCCUGUGACAGCACGACACAGACGCCACACUGAGCACA